UUUUUUCACAGCACACACUUUACUAUGUCAGUAUUCAUCAACUAGCACUAAUACAUUAGUGCUUUUAUGUACUUUGUGCAUUACUGCUAGCCCCCAUGAAUAAUAUAUA
rfam:Pan troglodytes isolate Yerkes chimp pedigree #C0471 (Clint) chromosome Y, whole genome shotgun sequence.